rnacentral:tRNA from 1 species
GCAUUAGUAGCUCAGUGUCAGAGCGCCGGUCUUGUAAGCCGGAAAUCGGAGGUUAAAAUCCCCCCUUCUGCC